UACGGGGGGGGCAAGCGUUGUUCGGAAUUAUUGGGCGUAAAGGGCGCGUAGGCGGCUAGAUGUGUCAAAGGUGAAAUCCCUCGGCUCAACUGAGGAACUGCCUUUGAAACUGUCUGGCUUGAGGCCGGGAGAGGGUAGCGGAAUUCCCAGUGUAGCGGUGAAAUGCGUAGAUAUCUGGAGGAACACCGGUGGCGAAGGCGGCAUCCUGGACCGAGAUCGACGCUGAGGCGCGAAAGCUAGGGGAGCAAACGGG
rnacentral:rRNA from 1 species